rnacentral:rRNA from 1 species
AGUGAACGCUGGCGGUAGGCCUAACACAUGCAAGUCGAACGGCAGCACAGUAAGAGCUUGCUCUUACGGGUGGCGAGUGGCGGACGGGUGAGGAAUACAUCGGAAUCUACUUUUUCGUGGGGGAUAACGUAGGGAAACUUACGCUAAUACCGCAUACGACCCACGGGUGAAAGCAGGGGAUCUUCGGACCUUGCGCGAUUGAAUGAGCCGAUGUCGGAUUAGCUAGUUGGCGGGGUAAAGGCCAAGCAAGGCGACGAUCCGUAGCUGGUCUGAGAGGAUGAUCAGCCACACUGGAACUGAGACACGGUCCAGACUCCUACGGGAGGCAGCAGUGGGGAAUAUUGGACAAUGGGCGCAAGCCUGAUCCAGCCAUACCGCGUGGGUGAAGAAGGCCUUCGGGUUGUAAAGCCCUUUUGUUGGGAAAGAAAAGCAGCAGGUUAAUACCCCGCUGUUCUGACGGUACCCAAAGAAUAAGCACCGGCUAACUUCGUG